UACGAAGGGGGCUAGCGUUGCUCGGAAUGACUGGGCGUAAAGGGCGCGUAGGCGGUUCGUACAGUCAGACGUGAAAUUCCCGGGCUCAACCUGGGGACUGCGUUUGAUACGUGCGGGCUUGAGUUCGGAAGAGGGUCGUGGAAUUCCCAGUGUAGAGGUGAAAUGCGCAGAUAUCGGGAGGAACACCCGUAGCGAAGGCGGCACUCUGGGCCGGAACUGACGCUGAGGAGCGAAAGCGUGGGGAGCAAACAGG
rnacentral:rRNA from 1 species